GCCGUGCGGGCGUCUGGCAUUGAGAACGGAGUCCUAUUCCAGAAAACCUGCCAAGAAUUGAACUCCGAAACAAGAGCGUCUCAUUAUACUUACAAGUACUUUUUCUAGUGAGAUGGAAAUGUCAACAUGAAUAAUUUCUUUAACAAAAAGAAAGCUGCGAUUGAGAACCGAAACCAAUAAACUGUUCUGUCUCGAUGAAAAACAGGACCAGCAGCUUGCUCAACAAUAUUUACUUCAGGACCUUACCUUGCUGUGCCCAUCAAUCCAAAAUUUUAUGUCCAAAAGUGCCCAAUCCUAGCCAGUUCCCUGCCUGGUGAGACCCACCUUAUUAUCACUGGACUCUGGC